rnacentral:rRNA from 1 species
GAUGAACGCUGGCGGCGUGCCUAAUACAUGCAAGUCGAGCGAACAGACGAGGAGCUUGCUCCUCUGACGUUAGCGGCGGACGGGUGAGUAACACGUGGAUAACCUACCUAUAAGACUGGGAUAACUUCGGGAAACCGGAGCUAAUACCGGAUAAUAUAUUGAACCGCAUGGUUCAAUAGUGAAAGACGGUUUUGCUGUCACUUAUAGAUGGAUCCGCGCCGCAUUAGCUAGUUGGUAAGGUAACGGCUUACCAAGGCAACGAUGCGUAGCCGACCUGAGAGGGUGAUCGGCCACACUGGAACGGAGACACGGUCCAGACGCCUACGGGAGGCAGCAGUAGGGAAUCUGCCGCAGUGGGCGAAAGCCUGACGGAGCAACGCCGCGUGAGUGAUGAAGGUCUUCGGAUCGUAAAGCUCUGUUAUUAGUGAAGAACAAAUGUGUAAGUAACUAUGCACGUCUUGACGGUACCUAAUCAGAAAGCCACGGCUAACUACGUG